rnacentral:rRNA from 1 species
CGAACGCUGGCGGCGUGCCUAAUACAUGCAAGUCGAACGCUUCUUUCCUCCCGAGUGCUUGCACUCAAUUGGAAAGAGGAGUGGCGGACGGGUGAGUAACACGUGGGUAACCUACCCAUCAGAGGGGGAUAACACUUGGAAACAGGUGCUAAUACCGCAUAACAGUUUAUGCCGCAUGGCAUAAGAGUGAGAGGCGCUUUCGGGUGUCGUUGAUGGAUGGACCCGCGGUGCAUUAGCUAGUUGGUGAGGUAACGGCUCACCAAGGCCACGAUGCAUAGCCGACCUGAGAGGGUGAUCGGCCACACUGGGACUGAGACACGGCCCAGACUCCUACGGGAGGCAGCAGUAGGGAAUCUUCGGCAAUGGACGAAAGUCUGACCGAGCAACGCCGCGUGAGUGAAGAAGGUUUUCGGAUCGUAAAACUCUGUUGUUAGAGAAGAACAAGGACGUUAGUAACUGAACGUCCCCUGACGGUAUCUAACCAGAAAGCCACGGCUAACUACGUG